rnacentral:piRNA from 1 species
CUACAACAGUCCUGUGAGGGAGA